rnacentral:rRNA from 1 species
GAUGAACGCUGGCGGCGUGCUUAACACAUGCAAGUCGAGCGAGAGAGUUCUUCGGAACAAUCUAGCGGCGGACGGGUGAGUAACACGUGGGCAACCUGCCUCAUAGAGGGGAACAGCCUUCCGAAAGGAAGAUUAAUACCGCAUAACAUCGUUGAAGGGCAUCCUUCGAUGAUCAAAGGAGCAAUCCGCUAUGAGAUGGGCCCGCGGCGCAUUAGCUAGUUGGUGAGGUAACGGCUCACCAAGGCGACGAUGCGUAGCCGACCUGAGAGGGUGAUCGGCCACAUUGGGACUGAGAAACGGCCCAGACUCCUACGGGAGGCAGCAGUGGGGAAUAUUGCACAAUGGGGGAAACCCUGAUGCAGCAACGCCGCGUGAGUGAUGACGGCCUUCGGGUUGUAAAGCUCUGUCUUUGGGGACGAUAAUGACGGUACCCAAGGAGGAAGUCACGGCUAACUACGUGCCAGCAGCCGCCGUAA